GCGGCUGCAGCCUCUUAGAGGUGAGGCGCCUUCUGUCUGAGAUCCAGGAGCUUUGGCGAACCCUGGGGACCAGAGAAAGGACAGCUUCUGGAGGGCAGAAAAAAUAAUUCUGCCCCAGGACCUAAGCCUGAGGGUAUGGAUCCCGUUUUGGGGUGCCCUGCAGCUAUGGAGCCCAGCACAGAACCAGGCAUGGUUGUUUUAGCUGCUGGUCACCUUGCCUUGCUAAAGAAGAACCAGAAGCGACUCCUCCUCUCCUAUCCCUUGCUGACCUUCUACCUGGCUCCUGGUUCUUUGAUUGCCUCCUGCUGUCCCCUGUUGGAGCUCUGUGCCCCACAUUGGCCAGGUUCAGCGCGACCCAAAGUCCUCAGACUCAUCUAGCAGACACCACUGAACAUCAAACCUCCCCGAGCUUACAGGUAAGAGAGCUGAGCA